rnacentral:rRNA from 1 species
CCUACGGGGGGCAGCAGUGGGGAAUAUUGCACAAUGGGGGAAACCCUGAUGCAGCGACGCCGCGUGAGUGAAGAAGUAAUUCGUUAUGUACAGCUCUAUCAGCAGGGAAGAAAAUGACGGUACCUGAGUAAGAAGCCCCGGCUAACUACGUCCCAGCAGCCGCGGUAAUACGUAGGGAGCACGCGUUAUCCGGCUUUACUUGGUGGAAAGGGAGCGUAGACGGCAGUGCAAGUCUGGAGUGAAAGGCGGGGGCUCAACGCCCGUACUGCUCUGGAAACUGUACGGCUGGAGUGCAGGAGAGGUAAGUGGAAUUCCUAGUGUAGCGGUGAAAUGCGUAGAUAUUAGGAGGAACACCAGUGGCGAAGGCGGCUUACUGGACUGUAACUGACGUUGAGGCUCGAAAGCGUGGGGAGCAAACAGGAUUAGAUACCCCUGUAGUC